UUAGCCUCCAGCCUCUUGGGAAAGCUCCAGUUAGGAGCACAGGAGCACAGGACCUGGCACAAAAUGGGGAUAUUUUGGAAAAUGAAUGCCACUGAGAUGCCAAGGGCUGCACCUCCUUCCAGCACCCUUGUUUGUGGGUGUUUUCCCUACAUUUCCAUGACUGCUGCCUCUGUGCCCCCCUAAAGGAGCAGGGAGAGAGGAGCUGCCUCGUUACUGCAGAGAGGCUCUACCUGUGCUGCUAAUUAGUGGCAUGAGGAGCCAGCACUGUCCUCCCCAGUGGGAAGCAGCUAAUAAACUAAUUAGGAUAAUGGGUAACUGAGCAGAUAAAAGUCUUAAGCUAUUUGCCAACAGGUCAUGGAUGGAUGUGGAGCCUUUCCCCCAGUGAUGCACCCGCAUGACCCCAGUGGUCCCAGUCCUGCUGUUCCAGGGACAGGGAAGAGCCUGCAGAUGUCGUGUUUUCCAUGCCAGUGCCUCACCACCCUGGGCAGGCAGCUGCUGCUCAGCAAGGGGACCUCUGCCAGCCUGAGCCUGGUGACAAGGGUGACCCUGCUGGAGGGCACUCACGGUCAGUACCCCCUACACCAGGAGUUUUGUGACUUUUUGGGGUGCUGGGUCACAGGCUGCAUCACUCACACUCAUUCCUGGCAAUUUGCAGAUGAGCUGGGAAAGGAUGGUCCCAGCAGCACAGGGUGAGACUGGUGACAGAGCCCCUGGUGCCACCAAAAGAAAGGGCUGCAGGAGUGAGAUUUUACCAGAUCCAGAGCACAGGAUGCCAUCAGGAGCUGCUCCUCCAUGGGAAAUGACCAAAGGAUGCCAGCUCCAGGCUGCUCCUGUGCUGGGCACCCAGACCCUGCUGCUUCCCCUGCCUGCGGGGGAGCCUGGCACUCCCACGGCUCCAGCCCACCCAGAUCCAGGCCAUGGGGAGGAAAGUUGCUUUCUGCAUCCCAGGGGGAGGAUUUGAGGCCGAGUGGAUGUGACCUUGGGCUCUGGCAAGGAGCUGCCAUGAGUGCUGCACCCCUCACUCGGCCCUUGCCCUUCCCUCCACUCAACAGAAGCUGUUUUCAGAGCUGCUGCUCUCCCAAAGUGCUUCACAUCUCUCUGAUCUGGCUGGAGGAGGAGCUGAAGAGAAGAGCAGAGCAUCCACUUCCCUGGCCCAGGCUCUGGCAGGAGCCACCUCUCUCUGUGUCCCCUGUGCAGUGAGCUGGGAGCAGCUGUGCAUCCCCUCCCUGAGCAGCCACAGACUGCACAGGGUGAGCAGGGAGGUAGCCCUGUCUCCUCAAGUACCAGGUGAAAUCCCAAUUGAAAACUGCAGCUGGGCAGCUCCAGCUGCCUCUGCUCUCCUCCAGAAUGCCCAUGGCUGUGCCAGGGUUCUUUCCAGCUUUUCUUAAGAUGGGUGGGAGAGGAGCUGUGUCCCCCCUGGCGUGGGACAGGUUAGACCAUCUGUUCUGCUGCUGGUGGGGCAGAAGCUUGGCUCUUCUUUGCCAAGCACACAGGGUAAUUUAGUUAUUUACUAAAUUUAUAAUUUAGUAAAUAACUAAACACCACCAGUUUAGUUGUGACAGUAACAGCCCCUUCCUACAGGGGUGAGGAACUGCUGGGGGCCCAUCCCAGCAAAAGCCUGUGCCCAACACCUCUGGAGCCUGGUCCAAACCGCUCUGUCAGCAGGUCUGACCCAGCAAGCACAUUGUGCAAGUAAAAAUCUGAUUUUAAACCUUUCUGCCCUCAUCCUCACAGGGCUUUUAUCUGAGGGUGGGAGGAGGAAAGCUUCAUUACUGCUGCUGGGGUCACUUAUUAACCUGCUGGUUCCUAAUGAUGCACUUAUCUCCUCCUGCCAGCCCUGGCCUCCAUCAGGCACCGCUGCAGGGGCUCUCCUGCCCUACAUUGCUCUCUCUUCAUUAGCUUUUCAUUUUCCUUAAUUGCUCCUGCAGAUUUGCCUGGGGUGUCAGGCCUGGGGGAUGCCCAGGGGGAGAUGGGGAUGCAGGGGGAGCAGGCACAAAGCUGAGGAUGCCACGCUGCUGGCUCACUGAUGGGAAGAGCAGGAAGCACAGAUGCUCUUGC